rnacentral:misc_RNA from 1 species
AUUAAAAAAAAAAGGGAGAAAAGAAAAGUUAUGUUUUGAUCUAUUGUAUUUGUAUCACAUUUUGGGUAUCUGAGCUUUGAUUUGGGAAGUUGGAUGAUAUUAGGACUUGUGGAUCUGCUAGAAUGCAUAUAUUUUGGAUUUUUCCUGUUUAACAAUUUAGAAAGUCCAAAUCCAUAAUUAGGUCAAAAUUUGAUGUUAUUUCUAAGGCUAUUUAUUUUUUACAAGAAAGAAAUCUAUCUAACAAGUAAAUUCUAAAAAGAAAUUAGAGGGUUGUGUAUGUUCCUAUUCCUAGGGCUGUUUCAUUUUUAUAAUUGUAGGAGUACUUGUAUCAUACCAUUGCAUUGCAUUCCCAAUUUCCACUUUUUAUUUAGUUGCUUGAAAGAAAUAAAGGUACUUUUUAACCUAUAAUUCUAUUUCUCCCUUAAAUUUUUUUUUUUUGGAACAGGGUCUGACUGUUGCCAAUAU